GCUCCGCUGACGAGUGGCGAACGGGUGAGUAAUAUAUCGGAACGUACCCAAGAGUGGGGGAUAACGUAGCGAAAGUUACGCUAAUACCGCAUACGAUCUAAGGAUGAAAGCAGGGGACCGCAAGGCCUUGUGCUCCUGGAGCGGCCGAUAUCUGAUUAGCUAGUUGGUAGGGUAAAGGCCUACCAAGGCAUCGAUCAGUAGCUGGUCUGAGAGGACGACCAGCCACACUGGAACUGAGACACGGUCCAGACUCCUACGGGAGGCAGCAGUGGGGAAUUUUGGACAAUGGGCGCAAGCCUGAUCCAGCAAUGCCGCGUGAGUGAAGAAGGCCUUCGGGUUGUAAAGCUCUUUUGUCAGGGAAGAAACGGGUGCGGCUAAUAUCUGCACCUAAUGACGGUACCUGAAGAAUAAGCACCGGCUAACUACGUGCCAGCAGCCGCGGUAAUACGUAGGGUGCAAGCGUUAAUCGGAAUUACUGGGCGUAAAGCGUGCGCAGGCGGUUUUGUAAGUUUGUCGUGAAAUCCCCGGGCUCAACCUGGGAAUGGCGAUGGAGACUGCAAGGCUAGAAUCUGGCAGAGGGGGGUAGAAUUCCACGUGUAGCAGUGAAAUGCGUAGAGAUGUGGAGGAACACCGAUGGCGAAGGCAGCCCCCUGGGUCAAGAUUGACGCUCAUGCACGAAAGCGUGGGGAGCAAACAGGAUUAGAUACCCUGGUAGUCCACGCCCUAAACGAUGUCUACUAGUUGUCGGGUCUUAAUUGACUUGGUAACGCAGCUAACGCGUGAAGUAGACCGCCUGGGGAGUACGGUCGCAAGAUUAAAACUCAAAGGAAUUGACGGGGACCCGCACAAGCGGUGGAUGAUGUGGAUUAAUUCGAUGCAACGCGAAAAACCUUACCUACCCUUGACAUGGAUGGAAUCCCGGAGAGAUUGGGGAGUGCCCGAAAGAGAACCAUCACACAGGUGCUGCAUGGCUGUCGUCAGCUC
rnacentral:rRNA from 1 species